rnacentral:rRNA from 1 species
UGGGGAAUCUUGGACAAUGGGCGCAAGCCUGAUCCAGCCAUGCCGCGUGGAUGAUGAAGGCCUUAGGGUUGUAAAAUCCUUUCGUGGGGGACGAUAAUGACGGUACCCCAAGAAGAAGCUCCGGCUAACUUCGUGCCAGCAGCCGCGGUAAUACGAAGGGGGGCUAGCGUUGUUCGGAUUUACUGGGCGUAAAGCGCGUGUAGGCGGGUCGUUAAGUUGGGGGUGAAAUCCCGAGGCUCAACCUCGGAACUGCCUUCAAAACUGGCGACCUGGACUCAAGCAGAGGCAAGUGGAAUUGCGAGUGUAGAGGUGAAAUUCGUAGAUAUUCGCAGGAACACCAGUGGCGAAGGCGACUUGCUGGGCUUGUAGUGACGCUGAGACGCGAAAGCGUGGGGAGCAAACAGGAUUAGAUACCCUUGUAGUCCCUGAGCGGGCUGGCAAGGCGCAU